AGGGUUGUGGCUCAGUAGUAGAGCACUUGCCUAGCAUGCAUGAGGCACUGGGUUCGAUCCCUGGCACCACAU
rnacentral:tRNA from 1 species